GGCCCAGUAGUUUCAGAGGAGAAGAUUUUUGUAAAAGAUUACUAAGAUUUACGAAAAAUGGUUAAAAAUUUACUAUAAAGGGCAAUAACUCCUAAAGGGGUCAACUGACCUUUUCGGUCAUGUUGACUUAUUUGUAAAUCUUACUUUGCUGAACAUUAUUGCUGUUUACAGUUUAUCUCUAUCUAUAAUAAUAUUCAAGAUAAUAACCAAAAACAGCAAAAUUUCCUUAAAAUUACCAAUUCAGGGGCAGCAAUCCAACAACGGGUUGUCCGAUUCAUCUGAAAAUUUCAGGACAGAUAUAUCUUGACCUGAUAAACAAUUUAACCCCUGUCAGAUUUGCUCUAAAUGCUUUGGUUUUUGAGUUAUAAGCCAAAAACUGCAUUUUACCCCUAUGUUCUAUUUUUAGCCAUGGCGGCCAUCUUGGUUGGUUGGCCGGGUCACGCCACACAUUUUUUAAACUAGAUACCCCAAUGAUGAUUGUGUCCAAGUUUGGUUUAAUUUGGCCCAGUAGUUUCAGAGGAGAAGAUUUUUGUAAAAGUUAACGACGACGGACGACGACGACGGACGACGACGACGGACGACGGACGACGGACGACGGACGACGGACGACGGACG
rnacentral:lncRNA from 1 species